UUUUUCCACAGAUAUUACAAGCCAUGGGGAAGUCCUAUCACCCUGGCUGCUUCAGAUGCUGUGUGUGCAAUGACUGCUUGGAUGGAGUCCCCUUCACCAUCGACGUAGACAACAAGAUCUACUGCAUCGCCGACUAUCACAGGUAAACAGCUCCUCUGUCCGCAUCAUGGGCCCCUAACCAGGGGUGGGUGGGGGUUGGCAUCAUGGGCCCCUAACCAGGGGUGGGUGGGGUUGGAAAGGGAGGGAAAAUCACUUCUUUGAGCUUCCUUGUUUCUAGAAAACAGCUUCCUCAUACAGUGUAGUAAUCUUCGUUAGAUAUAGUGUCUGAACAUGGAAGCAUGUUCUACCUGAAAUAAUAAAUCAAUAAGACAUCAGUGAUCAUAGAGGCAGGUAAAUUAUCAUAGAGGCAGGUAAAUUAUCAUAGAGGCAGGUAAAUUAUCAUAGAGGCAGGUAAAUUAUCAUAGAGGCAGGUAAAUUAUCAUAGAGGCAGGUAAAUUAUCAUAGAGGCAGGUAAAUAUCAUAGAGGCAGGUAAAUUAUCAUAGAGGCAGGUAAAUUAUCAUAGAGGCAGGUAAAUUAUCAUAGAGGCAGGUAAAUUAUCAUAGAGGCAGGUAAAUUAUCAUAGAGGCAGGUAAAUUAUCAUAGAGGCAGGUAAAUUAUCAUAGAGGCAGGUAAAUUAUCGGCAGUAACUGUCACCUGUUCACAACUGUUAGCAUUCAAUUGAAAGAUUAAAAAGAAAUAUAACACCAUUCCCUCAACUAAUGCUGUAAUGGGGAUGUAAAUACAGAUAAUUUUCUACUAGGACCGGUUUGUGUAUUGAAUGUUUAUAAUGUUUAACUGGAAGAAAAUAGAUUGCUUUAAAUAAUUAUUUUCAUAAACUGUGCCUUGAAAUCUCUUUAGUGCAUUAAGUAUGUAAAAUUAGACAAUGAUGUGACAGUUAUGAAUGUUUGACAAGAUAUGAAAUGUGAAAAGUAAACUGAAUUGACAGAUGUUCAAGGAAAGGUCACCAAUUAUGAAGUAUAACAUGCAUAUUUAUGCAUAUGCUUAUUACGGCUCAUUAGAUAAUGAUGUAUGAUAGGGCCCGGGCCCUGGAGAUCCACGGUAGUGACAAGAUGUGAAGCUUGACAUCAGAUCUUGAUUAAUCUCAUAAAACACAAAAUUAACGGCAAUCUUGACAUAUGCGAAGUUUCCAGCCAUUGUUUUGAAGUGGUUAUAAAUAAAUGCUGAUGUCAUCCGACAAGAGAAAUUACAAGAUCUUAGCAGCAUUAAGUUGUG
rnacentral:misc_RNA from 1 species